GUGACGUAAAGAGAGGACCCAAACGCAGGUGCUUAUCUCUAAGCAGUCAAAGGCACUGGAUGUCAUAUCAUGGGAACUACCUUUCAAAGAAACAGCUUUAGUGUUUCCGCUCAGCACACAAGGCAAGAGAGAAAUAUAAGUUUUGGAAACAAACAAAAAAAGCCUUAA
rnacentral:lncRNA from 1 species